CAGCAGCCGCGGUAAGACAGAGGAUGCAAGCGUUAUCCGGAAUGAUUGGGCGUAAAGCGUCUGUAGGUGGCUUUUCAAGUCCGCCGUCAAAUCCCAGGGCUCAACCCUGGACAGGCGGUGGAAACUACCAAGCUAGAGUACGGUAGGGGCAGAGAGAAUUUCCGGUGGAGCGGUGAAAUGCGUUGAGAUCGAAAAGAACACCAACGACGAAAGCACUCUGCUGGGUCGACACUGACUCUGAGAGACGAAAGCUAGGGGAGCAAAUGGGAUUAGAUACCCGGGUAGUCCCUGUCUCUUAUAA
rnacentral:rRNA from 1 species